UCGGAAUUACUGGGCGUAAAGCGUGCGUAGGUGGUUGUUUAAGUCUGUUGUGAAAGCCCUGGGCUCAACCUGGGAACUGCAGUGGAAACUGGACAACUAGAGUGUGGUAGAGGGUAGCGGAAUUCCCGGUGUAGCAGUGAAAUGCGUAGAGAUCGGGAGGAACAUCCAUGGCGAAGGCAGCUACCUGGACCAACACUGACACUGAGGCACGAAAGCGUGGGGAGCAAACAGG
rnacentral:rRNA from 1 species